AGAGGCCCUCAGAGAUGGCUUUCCUUGGCUCUCCUGGCACACCGUUGCAACAUCUAUAGUCACAUGUAAUCAGUCAGCCGCGCGAUUGAGAAGAGAGCCGAGGUUGAGGACAAGAAAAAUGAACUUCGGGGGUAGCAAGCAAGCAGAGGUGGGCGUGUGGCGUAAAGUGGAUCUGGCCAUGUUUGUUCUGUGUCUUACUCCUUGAGUUGCGCUACCCUUCAAAAUAUGUAUUGGAUGCUUAUUUUUAAGCGCAAUGUGCCGCCACGAGACGCCCCAUACACUUAUGUGCGUACGUCUACCGCACAUCCUGGAUACACACGUGCUUUCGGUACAAAGAAGCAAAGCCCCCCUGCCUAAAACCAAAUGUACAGCCCUAUGAGCACAGCAAAUACAACGAGUCCCGCUAGCAAGGUCAGCAGCUAGCUGAGGCGCACUCGACGAC
rnacentral:lncRNA from 1 species